rnacentral:rRNA from 1 species
CCCUAGAGGAGCCUGUUCCAUAAUCGAUAAACCCCGAUCCACCUCACCCUCUCUUGCUUAGCCUAUAUACCGCCAUCUUCAGCAAACCCUGAUAAAGGUUACAAAGUGAGCACAAACGCCCUGCCGCCGCAAAAACGUUAGGUCAAGGUGUAGCCAAUGAAAGGGUAAAAAUGGGCUACAUUUUCUACAUCAGAAAACUCCACGAAAACUCUUAUGAAACCUGAGAGUCCAAGGAGGAUUUAGCAGUAAAUUAAGAAUAGAGUGCUUAAUUGAACCAGGCCAUAAAGCGCGUACACACCGCCCGUCACUCCUCUCAAAUAUAUUUAAGGAACAUCUUAACUAAACGCCCUAAUAUUUAUAUAGAGGGGAUAAGUCGUAACAUGGUAAGUGUACUGGAAGGUGCACUUGGAC